GGAGUAGGUCAGAUGAUCGCUGGUUCGGUUGUGCAAUGAACUUGUCCUGAAUUUGUUUCAGGAUUCAAGAUAGUAUGCCGGACUGGAGGAAAGUCCGAGCUCCACAGGGCAGGAUGGUCGCUAACGGCGACUGGGGGUGACCCUAAGGAAAGUGCCACAGAAAAUAUACCGCCCGGUAAGAUUGGCCGUGUCCAUUAUACUGGGUAAGGGUGAAAAGGUGAGGUAAGAGCUCACCAGUUUCUCGGGUGACCGGGAAAGCUUGGUAAACCCCAUCUGGAGCAAGACCAAAUAGGAGAACGUUUGAGAGUAGCCCGCUCGAAGUUCUCGGGUAGCGUCGCUUGAAGCAACAGGCAACUGUUGUUCCAGAUUAAUGAUCAUCGCCCUCUUUCGGGUGACCGGGAGGGGGAAACAGAACUCGGCUUACGAUCUGCUCCGGCA
rnacentral:RNase_P_RNA from 1 species